GUGAUGCCUCAGUUCCAACAAGUUGGAUUGGGAAGUAAAGCGAUAACUAAAUGAUGUGCAUGAAACUACACAAGGGGGAUCAAAAUAAACACUCUGCUUACUUGUAUUUCAUGGAAAUCUGGAGAAGUGGUAAAAACAGAUAAUAUCGAGAUGGCCUAGGCACAGGGUAAAUAUCAAUAAGCUGGAGAACAUGUUAUAUCGAGAGUCUUUCUGAAAGAUUGAAAGCACUUUUGACAAAUGUAUCACCUUUUCUUGAGAGCAUAACCAGCAGGCUGCCGUCUAUUGGAUCACAAUGUUAUAACCAAAGUGAUGAAUCAUUUCCCUUCAGAGACGGAAACAACAUGAGAUACACAUAGCAGCUUCAAUUGAAGAGCUCUGUGUUCACCCAGUCCUUGCUAAUGUCAUCAAGGUGGUCAUCGAAAUCUAUAAUAUCCUUCCAUUUCCCCGAUGAAAUGAAAUCUAGAAGGAUGACAUUUGCUGAUGGCUGUUUAAUUU
rnacentral:misc_RNA from 1 species